rnacentral:sRNA from 1 species
GCCAGGUGUGGUGGUGCAUAUCUGUAAUCCCAGCUCCUUAGGAGGCUGAGGCAGGAGGAUCCCACAUUUGAGGCUAGCCUCAGUAACUUAGUGAGAUGUUCAGCAGCUU